GAUGAACGCUGGCGGCGUGCCUAAUACAUGCAAGUCGAGCGAAUGGAUUAAGAGCUUGCUCUUAUGAAGUUAGCGGCGGACGGGUGAGUAACACGUGGGUAACCUGCCCAUAAGACUGGGAUAACUCCGGGAAACCGGGGCUAAUACCGGAUGACAUUUUGAACCGCAUGGAUCGAAAUUGAAAGGCGGCUUCGGCUGUCACUUAUGGAUGGACCCGCGUCGCAUUAGCUAGUUGGUGAGGUAACGGCUCACCAAGGCAACGAUGCGUAGCCGCCCUGAGAGGGUGAUCGGCCACACUGGGACUGAGACACGGCCCAGACUCCUACGGGAGGCAGCAGUAGGGAAUCUUCCGCAAUGGACGAAAGUCUGACGGAGCAACGCCGCGUGAGUGAUGAAGGCUUUCGGGUCGUAAAACUCUGUUGUUAGGGAAGAACAAGUGCUAGUUGAAUAAGCUGGCACCUUGACGGUACCUAACCAGAAAGCCACGGCUAACUACGUGCCAGCAGCCGCCGUAA
rnacentral:rRNA from 1 species